ACGGAGGGUCCAAGCGUUAUCCGGAUUUAUUGGGUUUAAAGGGUGCGCAGGCGGGGAUGUAAGUCAGUGGUGAAAUACUGCCGCUCAACGGUAGCACUGCCAUUGAUACUGCAUCUCUUGAGUAUGGUUGAGGUAGGCGGAAUGUGUCGUGUAGCGGUGAAAUGCAUAGAUAUGACACAGAACGCCAAUUGCGAAGGCAGCUUACUAAGCCAUUACUGACGCUGAGGCACGAAAGCGUGGGGAGCGAACAGG
rnacentral:rRNA from 1 species